AUCAGUGAUUACUGUAGGAGUCCAGGAAACCAUCUGAAGAGUUUGCGGCAUACAUUAAGCAGAGGGGUUACAACCUUCAUAAUGUAGAGGCUUAUGGACAGAUGCUACAGAAUGUUGGUUUCCAUGAUGUCAUUGCUGAAGACCGCACUGAUCAGUUCCUGAAAGUUUUACAUAGGGAGCUAGCCGAAGUUGAAAAGAACAAAGAUGAAUUUCUGGCUGAUUUCGGUCAGG